UUGGGGGCAACCAAUCUGGUUGGUGGAUGGGAGCCCCAGACUCGAUCAACAUGGGGUCGCGGGCGCAGAGAGCAGGGUAGGUGGGAGAGGGGUUCACCCCACCUCGGGACUGCGAAUCUGGGUCUGGAAGUCCGAGAACAUCCAUCUGGAAAGGGAUCUUUGCCAUCUUCUCUAGCUUCUGUUUUACACAUGGGGAAACUGAGGCUUACGGAAGAGCCUGGUAGCUUCCCCACGGUGGAGGGUGGUGAGCCGUCGUAAACCAUGAGUGAGCUGAAAUCAAGAGGAAGCAGAGGGCUUCCCUGGUGGCACAGUGGUUGAGGAUCUGCCUGCUAAUGCAGGGGACACGGGUUUGAGCCCUGGUCUGGGAGGAUCCCACAUGCCGAGAAACAACUAGGCCCGUGAGCCACAACUGCUGAGCCUGCGCGUCUGGAGCCCGUGCUCCACAACAAGAGAGGCCGCGAUAGUGAGAGGCCCACGCACCGCGAUGAUGAGUGGCCCCCGCUUGCCGCAACUAGAGAGAGCCCUCGCACAGAAACGAAGACCCAACACAGCCAUAAAUAAAUUAAUUAAUUAAUAAACUCCUACCCCCAACAUCUUAAACAAAAAAAAAAAAAGAGGAAGCAGAAA